rnacentral:rRNA from 1 species
CAGUCGCCGCGGGAAAACGUAGGUGGCAAGCGUUGUCUGGAAUUAUUGGGCGUAAAGCGCGCGCAGGUGGUUCCUUAAGUCUGAUGUGAAAGCCCACGGCUCAACCGUGGAGGGUCAUUGGAAACUGGGGGACUUGAGUGCAGAAGGGGAAAGUGGAAUUCCAAGUGUAGCGGUGAAAUGCGUAGAUAUUUGGAGGAACACCAGUGGCGAAGGCGACUUUCUGGUCUGUAACUGACACUGAGGCGCGAAAGCGUGGGGAGCAAACAGGAUUAGAUACCCGGGUAGUCCCUGUCUCUUAUAC